rnacentral:rRNA from 1 species
GACGAACGCUGGCGGCGUGCUUAGCACAUGCAAGUCGAACGGAAAGGCCCUGCUUUUGUGGGGUGCUCGAGUGGCGAACGGGUGAGUAACACGUGAGUAACCUGCCCUUGACUUUGGGAUAACUUCAGGAAACUGGGGCUAACACCGGAUAGGAGCUCCUGCUGCAUGGUGGGGGUUGGAAAGUUUCGGCGGUUGGGGAUGGACUCGCGGCUUAUCAGCUUGUUGGUGGGGUAGUGGCUUACCAAGGCUUUGACGGGUAGCCGGCCUGAGAGGGUGACCGGCCACAUUGGGACUGAGAUACGGCCCAGACUCCUACGGGAGGCAGCAGUGGGGAAUAUUGCACAAUGGGCGGAAGCCUGAUGCAGCAACGCCGCGUGCGGGAUGACGGCCUUCGGGUUGUAAACCGCUUUCGCCUGUGACGAAGCGUGAGUGACGGUAAUGGGUAAAGAAGCACCGGCUAACUACGUG